rnacentral:ncRNA from 1 species
CACCACCAACCGGGGAGCUCGAAGUACGGGCUGAGAGGGCGGAUGUAUCCGCCGACCCGCAACCUGAACUGGGUAAUGCCAGCGGAGGGAGUCAUGGUCGCCAUCAUCG